AAUAUAAAUACUUUCAGGUUGUGGAGGCGUUUUUCAUGAUCUAAAACGUACAAUUAGGACACCAAAUUAUGGCGUUGGCGACUAUCCACAUAAAGCAGAAUGCUUGUGGAUUAUUGAGUCGGAACCUGGAUAUCACAUCAAAUUGAAUUUCGUUGAAAGAUUCUUUAUAGAACAAAGUACAAAUUGUACAAAGGACUACGUCGAGAUUUGGAGUUGGGAUUUGGACCACUGGACCUCUUUAGGACGAAAAUGUGGCAGAGACACUCCAACAUCGUUACAAUCCAA
rnacentral:lncRNA from 1 species